AGUGAACGCUGGCGGUAGGCCUAACACAUGCAAGUCGAACGGCAGCACAGUAAGAGCUUGCUCUUACGGGUGGCGAGUGGCGGACGGGUGAGGAAUACAUCGGAAUCUACUUUUUCGUGGGGGAUAACGUAGGGAAACUUACGCUAAUACCGCAUACGACCUACGGGUGAAAGCAGGGGAUCUUCGGACCUUGCGCGAUUGAAUGAGCCGAUGUCGGAUUAGCUAGUUGGCGGGGUAAAGGCCCACCAAGGCGACGAUCCGUAGCUGGUCUGAGAGGAUGAUCAGCCACACUGGAACUGAGACACGGUCCAGACUCCUAUGGGAGGCAGCAGUGGGGAAUAUUGGACAAUGGGCGCAAGCCUGAUCCAGCCAUACCGCGUGGGUGAAGAAGGCCUUCGGGUUGUAAAGCCCUUUUGUUGGGAAAGAAAAGCAGCAGGUUAAUACCCCGCUGUUCUGACGGUACCCAAAGAAUAAGCACCGGCUAACUUCGCG
rnacentral:rRNA from 1 species